rnacentral:rRNA from 1 species
UACGGAGGGUGCAAGCGUUAUCCGGAUUUAUUGGGUUUAAAGGGUGCGUAGGCGGCCUAUUAAGUCAGAGGUGAAAGACGGUAGCUCAACUAUCGCAGUGCCUUUGAUACUGAUGGGCUUGAAUGAACUAGAGGUAGGCGGAAUGAGACAAGUAGCGGUGAAAUGCAUAGAUAUGUCUCAGAACACCGAUUGCGAAGGCAGCUUACUAUGGUUUUAUUGACGCUGAGGCACGAAAGCGUGGGGAUCAAACAGG